rnacentral:tRNA from 1 species
GCCCGGGUGGUGGAAUCGGCAGACACGGGGGACUUAAAAUUCCCUUCGCAAGAGUGCGGGUUCGAGUCCCGCCCCGGGCA